AAGCAACUACGCACUCUACUAACCAAGGACUUUACAAUGAGCCCAUUUGGAAGAAAAUAAAUAUACAUCCCACACUUUUCAUGCCAAUAGAAAAUAUACACCUCCAAUCCAUGGUAGAAAUCAUCAAGAACUCUCCGACUCCUUUUAGAACGGAACCAAACUUGCCAGGACUGAAUCUUUCUGACUCAACCAAGCCACGCAGGCCACUAAUACCCAAGAGCAUUGCCGUAAAACACAUGCAAAAACUCAUUGCCCCAUACACACCUAAGGAACUAAUGAUAUCCUUACCAUACCGAUCCGGUCUACUGCCAAGCUAUGACACAUAUCCAAGUUUCCUUCUGAUUCAC
rnacentral:lncRNA from 1 species